rnacentral:rRNA from 1 species
CCAGACUCCUACGGGAGGCAGCAGUGGGGAAUAUUGGGCAAUGGGCGCAAGCCUGACCCAGCAACGCCGCGUGAAGGAAGAAGGCUUUCGGGUUGUAAACUUCUUUUCUGAGGGACGAAGAAAGUGACGGUACCUCAGGAAUAAGCCACGGCUAACUACGUGCCAGCAGCCGCGGUAAUACGGAGGAUGCGAGCGUUAUCCGGAUUUAUUGGGUUUAAAGGGUGCGCAGGCGGAAGAUCAAGUCAGCGGUAAAAUUGGGGGGCUCACCCUCUUCGAGCCGUUGAAACUGGCUUUCUUGAGUGAGCGAGAAGUAUGCGGAAUGCGUGGUGUAGCGGUGAAAUGCAUAGAUAUCACGCAGAACUCCGAUUGCGAAGGCAGCAUACCGGCGCUCAACUGACGUUCAUGCACGAAAGUGUGGGUAUCGAACAGGAUUAGAUACCCCGGUAUA